rnacentral:rRNA from 1 species
CUACGGGGUGCUCCAGUGGGGAAUAUUGGACAAUGGGGGCAACCCUGAUCCAGCAAUGCCGCGUGUGUGAAGAAGGCCUUCGGGUUGUAAAGCACUUUAGUUUGGGAAGAAGGCGUGUAGUUUAAGAGAUGAUACGUUUGACUGUACCAAAAGAAUAAGCACCGGCUAACUCUGUGCCAGCAGCCGCGGUAAUACAGAGGGUGCGAGCGUUAAUCGGAGUUACUGGGCGUAAAGGGCGCGUAGGCGGUUAUGUAAGUGAGAUGUGAAAUCCCUGGGCUUAACCUAGGAACUGCAUCUUAUACUGCAUGGCUAGAGUAUUGUAGAGGGUAGUGGAAUUUCCGGUGUAGCGGUGAAAUGCGUAGAGAUCGGAAGGAACACCAGUGGCGAAGGCGGCUACCUGGACAAAUACUGACGCUGAGGCGCGAGAGCGUGGGGAGCAAACAGGAUUAGAUACCCCCGUAGUC